UUUCGAGUAACGGAACCAUAAUUUUCUGGGUUAUGUUAUAAAACCUUUACCAAAUUUCAAAAAGGGACAUUCUUUAUAUGUGGAUCAAUGCACAACAUCUUUAACUUAAUGACCCACUUAUCUGACUUUAAUUUUUUUCAAAUAUACCACUUAUAUUAAUAAAUUUAAAUGUGUCGCAGCACUCUUUUUAUACCUCAAACAGAAUGCAUCUUUUUGGUUUAUUUCUGAAGAUAACGGAGAGGAGCAAAACAAAAGGACCGGCCGAAGGUUGUCUCUAUGAGAGCCGCGGGCAGGCAGAUUAUAAGACACAGAAAGAGAGGGUAAUCUCCGAAGAUCUGUCUCUCUUUUUUUGCCGGACCGCCGACAGCAGCAUAUACAUACAUAGUUUCAAAAAAAAAAGGCUAGUGUGAAACUGAAGGGAAUGUACAGGGUGUCUGGUUCCCCAACAUACCUCCCCCUAAACGGCUGUUCACCAAAAAGACAAGAUCGCCAAUUUGGUUAUGUGGCGCUUGAAGACUCAUUGAGCGGCUUUUACGGUGACCACUCGGACUUUGUCGUCUUGUCCGGCGUCCAUAUGCCAACGUUUCCAAAGCGGUUUAUGGGAACAUUUAGACGGGAUGGCUCCGGUGAGGCAGUGUAGGGAGCGACAAUAAAAAAAUGGGCCGGAGUAAGCGGAUCUAGAGUAGAAUCCCCUGAUGAGCAACGAGGACGAGAGUUGACUUGAUGGACCGAACUCUGGUUUCCCAGAUUCCUUUGAAAUGUGGACGGUAUAAGAUGGCACAAGAUUCUUCGUUGGCGAAGAAGUUUCGUUCUUGCGUUGCUCCAUGGCUAGCAGCCUAAUUUCGUCGAGUACUCGUUUGCUGCCGUGAAAGGUGGUGCCGUUGUCUGAGUAGAGAUCAGCAGAGCUUGCAUUGGAUGAAACUGGCGUUUCUAGCUGCGUAUACCUCUUUGAGAAGUCGGUCUUGAGUUGCCUGCAGUUACUUUGAAGCUAUAAACUUAGAAUCAGGCCUGUGCUGCAAACGAAAACUAUGAAUAAAGCGAGGGGAGCACGAUCUCCGAACAGAUCGUACUGUUAGCAGGAAUAGUUAACGGCGCAUUGACAAUAGUGAACAGCCGCGUCAUAAGUAGUAGGUCAGCGUUCAAUUCCAGGCGUGAAUCGAUACUGAUUUGAUGUUUUGGCGGCCCCGAGAUUGUGGAACUUCCCAUCCGAUUCUACUCGACUAUAGACAACAACAUGGAUGCGUCUGCGAAUCCUGGCGUACUUAACUAUGUUAAAAAUGUUCUCAAAAUGAGAACCAUAUUUUGAACCCAAAAGAUUCUCUCUAUGAUUGAAUCAAGUUAUUUUUGAACUUCAAAUUUUUAUACCCUUGCAGAGGGUAUAAAUAUUUAAGUCAGAAGUUUGCAACGCAGUGAAGGAGACGUUUCCGACCCCAUAAAGUAUAUAUAAAGUAGAUCAGCGUCACAAGAUGAGUCGAUCUAGCCAUGUCCGUCUGUCCGUCCGUUUCUACGCAAACUAGUCUCUCAGUUUUAAAGCUAUCGGGCUGAAACUUUCCCAAAAGUCUUCUUUCUAUUGCAGGUAGUAUAUAAGUCGGAACCAGCCGGAUCGGACCACUAUAUCUUAUAGCUGCCAUAGGAACUAUCGGGGAAAAAAUUUAAAAAAAAAUGAUAUCUUCCGUGUUUCUUAACAUUUACCUUUCUAAGCUUGGAUAUAACAUUUUUAAAUUUGUUCUGAAUUUCGAAUUAAAUUUUAUUAAAAUCGGACGACUAUAUCAUAUAGCUGGCAUAGAAACGAUCGGAUAAUUGGUGGGAAAUAAUGUGAAACAAAUUAUAGCUUUGGGGCAUGUUUCCAUAUUCUUAUAAUAUUGUGAAUAUAAAUUUCAAGUCAAGCAAGUGCUUCCUUAAUUGCAAGAUAUUGUGCGUUAAUCCACGUUUAAAAUACGUCUCUUUUUGAGUUUUUUUUUUUUAUAGGUUUUACAACACAGUUAGAAGAGGUGCGUUGGACAAAGAUUCCGGGGACACGAACAAAUGUUUACGAAAAGCGAUGGAGAAUAUUAAAAACAAAUUAACAAAACAAAAAACUAGGCUAACUAACAAUAACUGUAAUUCAACAGGAACCCUAAAUAAGACUUCCGUACGUUCCGUUGUAUGGCCGUUGCUCAUAUUUUAGUAUCAUAUUAUAUUAUCUUUGCUUAAAACGUUCUUCGAUGGCUUAGACUCCUGAUGCAUCUAGAUGGUUGGCCCAUAAUUUCUAGGCGGCUUAAAGCGAAUGUCCAUGCCAAAAGUCGAAUUGAGUAUCAGUAUCGCCCAAUCUGAACUUCGUAAACACGUUUUCCGCUGGAGCGAAGUUAUAGAUUUCCUCGUCUCUUUAUAGUAAGCGACACUGCUAUAGAAGGAAAAGUCACUGCAGCGAAAUUUCGGCGCUGCAAGAGAAUAGGUAUAAGAAAUAUUAUAUUUUUCACAAAGCGAAAAACAUUGCUUUGCAGUUAUUUCUUCAUAAACGAGUUACCCUUACUGAGUUAAAAAGAUAAAAUGAUGAUG